rnacentral:rRNA from 1 species
GUCCACGCCCUAAACGAUGUCGACUAGUUGUUGGGGGAUGAAUUCCCUUAGUAACGUAGCUAACGCGCGAAGUCGACCGCCUGGGGAGUACGGUCGCAAGAUUAAAACUCAAAGGAAUUGACGGGGGCCCGCACAAGCGGUGGAUGAUGUGGAUUAAUUCGAUGCAACGCGAAAAACCUUACCUACCCUUGACAUGCCCGGAACCCUGCUGAAAGGUGGGGGUGCCCGAAAGGGAGCCGGGACACAGGUGCUGCAUGGCUGUCGU